rnacentral:rRNA from 1 species
UUAACACAUGCAAGUCGAGGGGCAGCACAGGUAGCAAUACCGGGUGGCGACCGGCGCACGGGUGAGUAACGCGUAUGCAACUUGCCUAUCAGAGGGGGAUAACCCGGCGAAAGUCGGACUAAUACCGCAUGAAGCAGGGGCCCCGCAUGGGGAUAUUUGCUAAAGAUUCAUCGCUGAUAGAUAGGCAUGCGUUCCAUUAGGCAGUUGGCGGGGUAACGGCCCACCAAACCGACGAUGGAUAGGGGUUCUGAGAGGAAGGUCCCCCACAUUGGUACUGAGACACGGACCAAACUCCUACGGGAGGCAGCAGUGAGGAAUAUUGGUCAAUGGGCGUAAGCCUGAACCAGCCAAGUCGCGUGAGGGAUGAAGGUUCUAUGGAUCGUAAACCUCUUUUAUAAGGGAAUAAAGUGCGGGACGUGUCCCGUUUUGUAUGUACCUUAUGAAUAAGGAUCGGCUAACUCCGUGCCAGCAGCCGCGGUAAUACGGAGGAUCCGAGCGUUAUCCGGAUUUAUUGGGUUUAAAGGGUGCGUAGGCGGCCUUUUAAGUCAGCGGUGAAAGUCUGUGGCUCAACCAUAGAAUUGCCGUUGAAACUGGGGGGCUUGAGUAUGUUUGAGGCAGGCGGAAUGCGUGGUGUAGCGGUGAAAUGCAUAGAUAUCACGCAGAACCCCGAUUGCGAAGGCAGCCUGCCAAGCCAUUACUGACGCUGAUGCACGAAAGCGUGGGGAUCAAACAGGAUUAGAUACCCUGGUAGUCCACGCAGUAAACGAUGAUCACUAGCUGUUUGCGAUACACUGUAAGCGGCACAGCGAAAGCGUUAAGUGAUCCACCUGGGGAGUACGCCGGCAACGGUGAAACUCAAAGGAAUUGACGGGGGCCCGCACAAGCGGAGGAACAUGUGGUUUAAUUCGAUGAUACGCGAGGAACCUUACCCGGGUUUGAACGCAUUCGGACCGAGGUGGAAACACCUUUUCUAGCAAUAGCCGUUUGCGAGGUGCUGCAUGGUUGUCGUCAGCUCGUGCCGUGAGGUGUCGGCUUAAGUGCCAUAACGAGCGCAACCCUUGCCACUAGUUACUAACAGGUAAAGCUGAGGACUCUGGUGGGACUGCCAGCGUAAGCUGCGAGGAAGGCGGGGAUGACGUCAAAUCAGCACGGCCCUUACAUCCGGGGCGACACACGUGUUACAAUGGCGUGGACAAAGGGAAGCCACCUGGCGACAGGGAGCGAAUCCCCAAACCACGUCUCAGUUCGGAUCGGAGUCUGCAACCCGACUCCGUGAAGCUGGAUUCGCUAGUAAUCGCGCAUCAGCCAUGGCGCGGUGAAUACGUUCCCGGGCCUUGUACACACCGCCCGUCAAGCCAUGGGAGCCGGGGGUACCUGAAGUCCGUAACCGAAAGGAUCGGCCUAGGGUAAAACUGGUGACUGGC